rnacentral:rRNA from 1 species
UACGUAGGGGGCAAGCGUUAUCCGGAUUUAUUGGGCGUAAAGAGCUCGUAGGCGGCCGUUCGCGUCGGAUGUGAAAGCUCAGGCUCAACUCUGAGACGCCAUUCGAUACGGGACGGCUAGAGGUAGGUAGGGGAAAGUGGAAUUCCUGGUGUAGCGGUGAAAUGCGCAGAUAUCAGGAGGAACACCGAUGGCGAAGGCAGUGUUCUGGGCCAGUACUGACGCUGAGGAGCGGAAAGCUCGGGGGAGCAAACAGG